CGCCUUAUACUCCUACGGGAGGCAGCAGUAGGGAAUCUUCCGCAAUGGACGAAAGUCUGACGGAGCAACGCCGCGUGAGUGAAGAAGGUUUUCGGAUCGUAAAACUCUGUUGUGAGGGAAGAACAAGUACCAACUAACUACUGGUACCUUGACGGUACCUCACCAGAAAGCCACGGCUAACUACGUGCCAACAGCCGCGGUAAUACGUAGGUGGCACGCGUUGUCCGGAAUUAUUGGGCGUAAAGCGCGCGCAGGCGGUCCUUUAAGUCUGAUGUGAAAGCCCACGGCUCAACCGUGGAGGGUCAUUGGAAACUGGGGGACUUGAGUGCAGAAGAGGAAAGCGGAAUUCCACGUGUAGCGGUGAAAUGCGUAGAGAUGUGGAGGAACACCAGUGGCGAAGGCGACUUUCUGGUCUGUAACUGACGCUGAGGCGCGAAAGCGUGGGGAGCAAACAGGAUUAGAAACCCCGGUAGUCCACGUACCA
rnacentral:rRNA from 1 species